rnacentral:rRNA from 1 species
UGCGUAGGCGGCUUAUUAAGUCGGAUGUGAAAUCCCCGAGCUUAACUUGGGAAUUGCAUUCGAUACUGGUGAGCUAGAGUAUGGGAGAGGAUGGUAGAAUUCCAGGUGUAGCGGUGAAAUGCGUAGAGAUCUGGAGGAAUACCGAUGGCGAAGGCAGCCAUCUGGCCUAAUACUGACGCUGAGGUACGAAAGCAGUGGGGAGCAAACA